rnacentral:rRNA from 1 species
GGCCUACCAUGCAAGUCGAGCGGUAGCACAGAGAGCUUGCUCUCGGGUGACGAGCGGCGGACGGGUGAGUAAUGUCUGGGAAACUGCCUGAUGGAGGGGGAUAACUACUGGAAACGGUAGCUAAUACCGCAUAAUGUCGCAAGACCAAAGUGGGGGACCUUCGGGCCUCAUGCCAUCAGAUGUGCCCAGAUGGGAUUAGCUAGUAGGUGGGGUAACGGCUCACCUAGGCGACGAUCCCUAGCUGGUCUGAGAGGAUGACCAGCCACACUGGAACUGAGACACGGUCCAGACUCCUACGGGAGGCAGCAGUGGGGAAUAUUGCACAAUGGGCGCAAGCCUGAUGCAGCCAUGCCGCGUGUGUGAAGAAGGCCUUCGGGUUGUAAAGCACUUUCAGCGGGGAGGAAGGCGUUAAGGUUAAUAACCUUGGCGAUUGACGUUACCCGCAGAAGAAGCACCGGCUAACUCCGUGCCAGCAGCCGCGGUAAUACGGAGGGUGCAAGCGUUAAUCGGAAUUACUGGGCGUAAAGCGCACGCAGGCGGUCUGUCAAGUCGGAUGUGAAAUCCCCGGGCUCAACCUGGGAACUGCAUUCGAAACUGGCAGGCUAGAGUCUUGUAGAGGGGGGUAGAAUUCCAGGUGUAGCGGUGAAAUGCGUAGAGAUCUGGAGGAAUACCGGUGGCGAAGGCGGCCCCCUGGACAAAGACUGACGCUCAGGUGCGAAAGCGUGGGGAGCAAACAGGAUUAGAUACCCUGGUAGUCCACGCCGUAAACGAUGUCGAUUUGGAGGUUGUGCCCUUGAGGCGUGGCUUCCGGAGCUAACGCGUUAAAUCGACCGCCUGGGGAGUACGGCCGCAAGGUUAAAACUCAAAUGAAUUGACGGGGGCCCGCACAAGCGGUGGAGCAUGUGGUUUAAUUCGAUGCAACGCGAAGAACCUUACCUGGUCUUGACAUCCACAGAACUUUCCAGAGAUGGAUUGGUGCCUUCGGGAACUGUGAGACAGGUGCUGCAUGGCUGUCGUCAGCUCGUGUUGUGAAAUGUUGGGUUAAGUCCCGCAACGAGCGCAACCCUUAUCCUUUGUUGCCAGCGGUCCGGCCGGGAACUCAAAGGAGACUGCCAGUGAUAAACUGGAGGAAGGUGGGGAUGACGUCAAGUCAUCAUGGCCCUUACGACCAGGGCUACACACGUGCUACAAUGGCAUAUACAAAGAGAAGCGACCUCGCGAGAGCAAGCGGACCUCAUAAAGUAUGUCGUAGUCCGGAUUGGAGUCUGCAACUCGACUCCAUGAAGUCGGAAUCGCUAGUAAUCGUAGAUCAGAAUGCUACGGUGAAUACGUUCCCGGGCCUUGUACACACCGCCCGUCACACCAUGGGAGUGGGUUGCAAAAGAAGUAGGUAGCUUAACCUUCGGGAGGGCGCUAC